rnacentral:misc_RNA from 1 species
CCGAGUUUACAACUCCCAAACCCCUGUGAACAUACCUAUACGUUGCCUCGGCGGAUCAGCCCGCGCCCCGUAAAAAGGGACGGCCCGCCCGAGAACCCCUAAACUCUGUUUUUAGUGGAACUUCUGAGUAAAACAAACAAAUAAAUCA